rnacentral:rRNA from 1 species
GUGGGGAAUAUUGGACAAUGGGCGCAAGCCUGAUCCAGCCAUGCCGCGUGAGUGAUGAAGGCCCUAGGGUUAUAAAGCUCUUUCACCGGUGAAGAUAAUGACAGUAACCGGAGAAGAAGCCCCGGCUAACUUCGUGCCAGCAGCCGCGGUAAUACGAAGGGGGCUAGCGUUGUUCGGAAUUACUGGGCGUAAGGCGCACGUAGGCGGGUAUUUAAGUCAGGGGUGAAAUCCCUGAGCUCAACUCCGGAACUGCCUUUGAUACUGGGUACCUAGAGUAUGGAAGAGGUAAGUGGAAUUCCGAGUGUAGAGGUGAAAUUCGUAGAUAUUCGGAGGAACACCAGUGGCGAAGGCGGCUUACUGGUCCAUUACUGACGCUGAGGUGCGAAAGCGUGGGGAGCAAACAGGAUUAGAUACCCGUGUAGUCC